UGAGGAAUAUUGGUCAAUGGGCGCAGGCCUGAACCAGCCAAGUCGCGUGAGGGAAGACGGUCCUACGGAUUGUAAACCUCUUUUGUCGGGGAGUAACGUGCGGGACGCGUCCCGUAUUGAGAGUACCCGAAGAAAAAGCAUCGGCUAACUCCGUGCCAGCAGCCGCGGUAAUACGGAGGAUGCGAGCGUUAUCCGGAUUUAUUGGGUUUAAAGGGAGCGUAGGCCGCUGUUUAAGCGUGUUGUGAAAAACCGGGGCUCAACUCCGGUCGUGCAGCGCGAACUGGACGGCUUGAGUGCGCGGUAAGUGGGCGGAAUUUGUGGUGUAGCGGUGAAAUGCUUAGAUAUCACGAAGAACUCCGAUUGCGAAGGCAGCUCACUGUAGCGCAACUGACGCUGAAGCUCGAAAGUGCGGGUAUCGAACAGGAUUAGAUACCCUGGUAGU
rnacentral:rRNA from 1 species